AAUUUUUUUAUCAAUUUUAAACUUUUCAUACACACGUAUAUUAUCCUUUAAUCAGGCUUACAAGGCCCAAAAUAUUCAUGAGGCAUUAUUAAAUAUUUACCAAUAUUUUAGUCUUGUAUCAUUUACUUACUCAACUUUACAACCCUAUACAUGCCAUAGACUCGAAACACUAAGAUUUACUUACGCCGAUAGCGUAGACUUGACAAUGUGAUAAUAUCUC
rnacentral:lncRNA from 1 species